UACGUAGGGUGCAAGCGUUAAUCGGAAUUACUGGGCGUAAAGCGUGCGCAGGCGGUUUGGUAAGACAGAUGUGAAAUCCCCGGGCUCAACCUGGGAAUUGCAUUUGUGACUGCCCGACUAGAGUGUGUCAGAGGGGGGUAGAAUUCCACGUGUAGCAGUGAAAUGCGUAGAUAUGUGGAGGAAUACCGAUGGCGAAGGCAGCCCCCUGGGAUAAC
rnacentral:rRNA from 1 species